UCCGUAGCCAUUUGGCUCAAG
rnacentral:misc_RNA from 1 species